rnacentral:rRNA from 1 species
GACGAACGCUGGCGGCGUGCUUAACACAUGCAAGUCGAACGGAAAGGCCCUGCUUUUGUGGGGUGCUCGAGUGGCGAACGGGUGAGUAACACGCGAGUAACCUGCCCUUGACUUUGGGAUAACUUCAGGAAACUGGGGCUCAUACCGGAUAGGAGCUCCUGCUGCAUGGUGGGGGAUGGAAAGUUUCGGCGGUUGGGGAUGGACUCGCGGCUUAUCAGCUUGUUGGUGGGGUAGUGGCUUACCAAGGCUUUGACGGGUAGCCGGCCUGAGAGGGUGACCGGCCACAUUGGGACUGAGAGACGGCGCAGACUCCUACGUGAGGCAGCGGUGGAGAAUAUUGCACAAUGGGCCGAAGCCUGAUGCAGCGGCGCCGCGUGCGGGAUGACGGCCUUCGGGUUGUAAACCGAUUUCGCCUGUGACGAAGCGUGAGUGACGGUAAUGAAUAAAGAAGCCCCGGCUAACUACGUG